rnacentral:rRNA from 1 species
AACGAACGCUGGCGGCAGGCUUAACACAUGCAAGUCGAGCGCCCCGCAAGGGGAGCGGCAGACGGGUGAGUAACGCGUGGGAACGUACCUUUUGGUUCGGAACAACUCCGGGAAACUGGAGCUAAUACCGGAUAAGCCCUAACGGGGAAAGAUUUAUCGCCGAAAGAUCGGCCCGCGUCUGAUUAGCUAGUUGGUGAGGUAACGGCUCACCAAGGCGACGAUCAGUAGCUGGUCUGAGAGGAUGAUCAGCCACACUGGGACUGAGACACGGCCCAGACUCCUACGGGAGGCAGCAGUGGGGAAUAUUGGACAAUGGGCGCAAGCCUGAUCCAGCCAUGCCGCGUGAGUGAUGUAGGCCUUAGGGUUGUAAAGCUCUUUUGUCCGGGAAGAUAAUGACCGUACCGGAAGAAUAAGCCCCGGCUAACUUCGUG